UCUCUCUAUCGUGCACGGAUGCCUGAGGAGCGCGGGGUUCGCUGACGCUCCGGGGAACAGAAACAAAGAAAAUAAUCUUCUAGAUGAGUUUUAUCGAUGGAUUGAUGGUAAAGAAAAGGAUUUAAAGGGGACGUGCUGUACCUGCACCAUUCUGGAAUUUUCUGAGUUUAACGAUCUCCUUGGUCAGGUUUUUUUUCCUUGUUGUUCUGUCCUUUUCCAAAUUCGAUUGCUGUCUGUCUGAUGUGACGAGAUGUUCCGG